UACGGGGGGAGCAAGCGUUGUUCGGAUUUACUGGGCGUAAAGGGCGCGUAGGCGGCCACCGCAAGUCGACUGUGAAAUCUCCGGGCUUAACCCGGAAAGGUCAACCGAUACUGCGGGGCUAGAGUGCAGAAGGGGCAACUGGAAUUCUCGGUGUAGCGGUGAAAUGCGCAGAUAUCAGGAGGAACACCGGUGGCGAAGGCGGGUCUCUGGGCCGAUACUGACGCUGAGGAGCGAAAGCGUGGGGAGCGAACAGG
rnacentral:rRNA from 1 species